rnacentral:rRNA from 1 species
CCUACGGGAGGCAGCAGUGAGGAAUAUUGGUCAAUGGACGAGAGUCUGAACCAGCCAAGUAGCGUGAAGGAUGACUGCCCUAUGGGUUGUAAACUUCUUUUAUAUGGGAGUAAAACAGGGUAUGCAUACCCUCUUGUAUGUACCAUAUGAAUAAGGAUCGGCUAACUCCGUGCCAGCAGCCGCGGUAAUACGGAGGAUCCGAGCGUUAUCCGGAUUUAUUGGGUUUAAAGGGAGCGUAGGUGGAUUGUUAAGUCAGUUGUGAAAGUUUGCGGCUCAACCGUAAAAUUGCAGUUGAAACUGGCAGUCUUGAGUACAGUAGAGGUGGGCGGAAUUCGUGGUGUAGCGGUGAAAUGCUUAGAUAUCACGAAGAACUCCGAUUGCGAAGGCAGCUUACUGGACUGCAACUGACACUGAUGCUCGAAAGUGUGGGUAUCAAACAGGAUUAGAUACCCGGGUAGUC